rnacentral:lncRNA from 1 species
GCAGAAAUAAGAGACCCGAUGUUAGAAAAAUAGCACAACGAUACCUGAUGAUUCACAUGAAUCCACUAAUAUUAGAUUAUAUUAAAAGAAAAAGGUUUCAUCAAAUAGUUCUUGAAGAGAUGCCCUGGAGAGCUCAGAUGAACCUGUAUCUGGCAAUCACAUGCUACAACCUGCUUUUACAAAAGCUAGGAGAGUGCACGAAGACGAAACCUGGCAUUUCACACACAAUGGUCAGUUUCCGAUCAUGUGAUCCUAAUAUGUUCUCACUAUAUAAUUCAGGAACAGUAUUGCCAACGGCAAAACUGACUCUGGAAAAUUAUAAAACAAUGCUUGAUUUCCUACUUACAGCUAAAAGAAGAAAGGCCAACUUACCAUCAGAUGCUGAAGAAUUUUCUACAUUUGUGAAUUCCAAAGCUAGUGAAGAUAAUAUGUCUAAGACACAACCAGUUUAUGAAUUGGUCUCUCAAUCAGCUCUUAGUGUCAGAGAAAAGGACCGAGCACAUUUGGAACUGGAUUCUUUUAUGAGAAUCUUUUUAUAUUGCAGGAGAGCCAUGGUUCUUGCUCAUCGUGGUGGCUAUUGGACUCUGCUUCAGAACUGCUGUCGGGCCUUUUGGAACUUUACUCAGGAGCUGCAAAUACUUCUUAAACAGGCAGUAGAUCUUUAUAAAACAUUUCCUGUUAGCCAGGAUACUUUCCUCUGUAUCUCAGUUUUACCAUUCUAUUUGGGAGCAGAAUUACUUAUUGACAUGUUAAUACAUCUACAAAAUAUCGAUUCUGUAAAGUUCAUUGAAGACAAAGGAGAGUUCAUUGUUCCAAGCUGUUAUGGGAAUAUUAAACAUGAUAAUGGUGGUUCUAGCCUUUCUUUUGAGCAUCCUUUGGAUGAUGUAAAUGUGGUUGAUUUGAAAUGGAUCCAUGACUUUGUAUUAAAAUCUCUGGAAGUUUUAUAUCAAGUGGAAAAAUGGGAAACACUAGUAUCGCUUGCCAUUCAAUUCAACAUAAUUUCACAUGAGAGGUACACAGAGCAGGUGACACCACUUCUGGUAUAUGCACAGCGCCAAUUGCUUCUGAGAAUACAGAAGUUCAAGGGCCCAGAUAUUACCCAGCAAGCUUGUGCAAGAUAUGAGGCCGAGUAUGGAGAGAAGAUUACCUGCCGAAAUUUCAUUGGAAAGCAGCUCAAGAUUGAUCCUUCAAUCAGUAAGACAAUAGAUAUAGGGGAUGGUACAAAUUUCCUACAAGUGAUUAUCUAUUCAGGUUAGAAUCUCUUUUAGCUUGAAUCUGUGUUUUCUUUAAAUCAGGGUUUGCCAUUCUUCCCCAUGUCAGAUAUUCCGUAAUUAGGAUAUCUGUAAGAAUAUCUUUUGCUAGUUUAUUUGAAAA